UCCGGUUUGUCACCGGCAGUCUCCUUAGAGUUCCCGGCAUGACCCGCUGGCAAAUAAGGACAAGGGUUGCGCUCGUUACGGGACUUAACCCAACAUCUCACGACACGAGCUGACGACAGCCAUGCAGCACCUGUCACUCAGUUCCCGAAGGCACCAAGUCGUCUCCGACAAGUUCUGAGGAUGUCAAGGGGUGGUAAGGUUCUUCGCGUUGCAUCGAAUUAAACAACAUGCUCCACCGCUUGUGCGGGCCCCCGUCAAUUCAUUUGAGUUUUAACCUUGCGGCCGUACUCCCCAGGCGGAGAACUUAUCGCGUUAGCUGCGCCACUAAGACCUCAAGGGCCCCAACGGCUAGUUCUCAUCGUUUACGGCGUGGACUAC
rnacentral:misc_RNA from 1 species